AAUGAACGCUGGCGGCAGGCCUAACACAUGCAAGUCGAACGGAUCCUUCGGGAUUAGUGGCGGACGGGUGAGUAACGCGUGGGAACAUACCCUUUGGUACGGAAUAGCCUCGGGAAACUGGGAGUAAUACCGUAUGUGGUCGAGAGACGAAAGAUUUAUCGCCAAAGGAUUGGCCCGCGUUGGAUUAGGUAGUUGGUGGGGUAAUGGCCUACCAAGCCGACGAUCCUUAGCUGGUUUGAGAGGAUGAUCAGCCACACUGGGACUGAGACACGGCCCAGACUCCUACGGGAGGCAGCAGUGGGGAAUCUUAGACAAUGGGGGAGACCCUGAUCUAGCCAUGCCGCGUGAUCGAUGAAGGCCUUAGGGUUGUAAAGAUCUUUCAGGUGGGAAGAUAAUGACUGUACCACCAGAAGAAGCCCCGGCUAACUCCGUGCCAGCAGCCGCAGUAA
rnacentral:rRNA from 1 species